CUCUGAUCCACGGGGUCCUGUAGGCGACUUCAGGCAGCUUGCCAGCGUGAGGGUACAGGUCGUGGGCACCGGUCAGCUAGCGAGUGGAUUCAUGACAAAGAUCGUCUAUUGUGGAGAUGAAUCAAUGGGUCGUUUUCUGGCCUUUCACCUUCACGCAUGCGCUUUCGGACAUGAAGCAGCCUCCUGUAGGUGGCGAUCUCCAUCUCCAAGUUCUGCUUGAUGCGCAGCAGCUGUUCGUAGUCGGUCUUGUUGCGUUGCAUGUCCAAGCGCAGCUGAGACAGCUCAUCCUCCAGCUGGGACAGCGACACCUGGAGGCGGUCCAUCUCCACGGAGUACUUGUGCCCGGUGUCGCCCAGGUUUCCCUCCAGCACACCGACCUGUCAACGGAACACACAGUAGAUCUCCUCUUCGGAUGCUUGCUCGGGAUUCGACCCUGGUGGUGUGAGCGACUGCUGUUGCCGGACAAGAUUUCACAGGUGAGUUCAGCCGCAGAGGCGGGACUCUCUCUGUCGGGGCGGAGCCACCGUGGGCGUGUCCAGUCCCACUGCAGCAGAGAGGAGGAUGUAACUCGACACCGUGUAGAGGAGUGAAGAUAAACACACAGAUUGACUCUCAAAACUAAACUGUCCGUGCAGUGAAAUCGACAUCCUCAGCCGACUGGAGAAACCGGUGUGGCUGGAAACAAGGCCCCCGCCGUCUCCACAGUGAUCCCAUUGAGCGUGGACACAAUACAGUCGGAACGA